CCCUCUGGCUGAGUUAGUGAUUGGCUAGAGUUAAUUUAAUUUUUUCUGGAGAUAAAUAUGUCACUAAGUAAUGAACAAAAAGCAGCUAUCGUAGCUGAAUACAGCCGUGGUGAA
rfam:Shewanella sp. P1-14-1 AN944_contig000006, whole genome shotgun sequence.